UAGAGUUUUGAUCCUGGCUCAGAUUGAACGCUGGCGGCAGGCCUAACACAUGCAAGUCGAACGGUAGCACAGAGAGCUUGCUCUCGGGUGACGAGUGGCGGACGGGUGAGUAAUGUCUGGGAAACUGCCUGAUGGAGGGGGAUAACUACUGGAAACGGUAGCUAAUACCGCAUAACGUCGCAAGACCAAAGAGGGGGACCUUCGGGCCUCUUGCCAUCAGAUGUGCCCAGAUGGGAUUAGCUAGUAGGUGGGGUAACGGCUCACCUAGGCGACGAUCCCUAGCUGGUCUGAGAGGAUGACCAGCCACACUGGAACUGAGACACGGUCCAGACUCCUACGGGAGGCAGCAGUGGGGAAUAUUGCACAAUGGGCGCAAGCCUGAUGCAGCCAUGCCGCGUGUAUGAAGAAGGCCUUCGGGUUGUAAAGUACUUUCAGCGGGGAGGAAGGCGAUAAGGUUAAUAACCUUGUCGAUUGACGUUACCCGCAGAAGAAGCACCGGCUAACUCCGUGCCAGCAGCCGCGGUAAUACGGAGGGUGCAAGCGUUAAUCGGAAUUACUGGGCGUAAAGCGCACGCAGGCGGUCUGUCAAGUCGGAUGUGAAAUCCCCGGGCUCAACCUGGGAACUGCAUUCGAAACUGGCAGGCUAGAGUCUUGUAGAGGGGGGUAGAAUUCCAGGUGUAGCGGUGAAAUGCGUAGAGAUCGGAGGAAUACCGGUGGCGAAGGCGGCCCCCGGACAAAGACGACGCCAGGUGCGAAAGCUGAGCACCC
rnacentral:rRNA from 1 species